rnacentral:tRNA from 3 species
UGGAAUGUAGCUCAAUGGUAGAGCACCUGACUGUUAAUCAGGUGGUUCCCGGUUCGAGUCCGGGCUUUCCAG